GGGAUUGCCUCAGUAGCGGCGAGUGAAGCGGCAAGAGCUCAGAUUUGAAAUCUCACCUAGUGUGCGAGUUGUAAAUUGCAGGUUGGAGUCUCGGGUUAGACGUGUGUGCAAGUCCCUUGGAACAGGGUGCCACUGAGGGUGAGAGCCCCGUAUCGUGCAUGUCGACACCUGUGAGGCCCUUCUGACGAGUCGAGUUGUUUGGGAAUGCAGCUCUAAGUGGGUGGUAAAUUCCAUCUAAGGCUAAAUAUUGGCGAGAGACCGAUAGCGAACAAGUACUGUGAAGGAAAGAUGAAAAGCACUUUGAAAAGAGAGUGAAACAGCACGUGAAAUUGUUGAAAGGGAAGGGUAUUGGGCUCGACAUGGGAUUUACGCAUCGUUGCCUCUCGUGGGCGGCGCUCUGGGUUUUUCCUGGGCCAGCAUCGGUUUUCGUUGCAGGAUAAGGACAAUUGGAAUGUGGCUCCUCGGAGUGUUAUAGCCUUUUGUAGAUGCUGCGUAUGGGGACCGAGGGCUGCGGCGGACUCGUUUCGUCUCGGAUGCUGGCACAACGGCGCAAUACCGCCCGUCUUGAAACACGGACC
rnacentral:rRNA from 1 species